UACGUAGGGUGCGAGCGUUGUCCGGAAUUACUGGGCGUAAAGAGCUCGUAGGUGGUUUGUCGCGUUGUCCGUGAAAACUCACAACUCAAUUGUGGGCGUGCGGGCGAUACGGGCAGACUGGAGUACUGCAGGGGAGACUGGAAUUCCUGGUGUAGCGGUGGAAUGCGCAGAUAUCAGGAGGAACACCGGUGGCGAAGGCGGCAUCCUGGACCGAUACUGACGCUGAGGAGCGAAAGCCAGGGGAGCAAACGGG
rnacentral:rRNA from 1 species